rnacentral:rRNA from 1 species
CGUGGUGGCGAGUGGACGACGGUGAGUAAUACAGUCGGAACGUCGACCAAUCGGUGGGGGAUAACGUAGCGAAAGUUACGCUAAUACCGCAUACGAUCUACGGAUGAAAGCGGGGGAUCGCAAGACCUCGCGCGAGUGGAGCGGCCGAUGUCAGAUUAGGUAGUUGGUGGGGUAAAGGCUCACCAAGCCAACGAUCUGUAGCUGGUCUGAGAGGACGACCAGCCACACUGGAACUGAGACACGGUCCAGACUCCUACGGGAGGCAGCAGUGGGGAAUUUUGGACAAUGGGCGCAAGCCUGAUCCAGCCAUUCCGCGUGCAGGAUGAAGGCCUUCGGGUUGUAAACUGCUUUUGUACGGAACGAAACGGCGAGCUCUAAUACAGUUUGCUAAUGACGGUACCGUAAGAAUAAGCACCGGCUAACUACGUG